CUUCUGGUUCUUGUUUCCAGCUGCCUUUUUUUUAAAAUUAGAAAUAGAGUACCAAACUGAAACUAUCUCUGCUAUCUCCUGGCUACCUAGUUGUGAUGGCAGUGUGAAUAACUAGAUUUUGUUUCCACUUUUUGCUUUCAUUGCCAUUGAUCUCUAGCUACCUCUGGGGCACAGGAACGUGUCACAAGCUUCCCUGAGCUUUACCUCGGACAUUCCAUGAGCAGCAGGGUGGCUUUGAAUCUCUUUCCCCCGCCAGGAAUGGAUACAAAAGGACAAAUAGGGAGGAUGGAGCACAAAACAAGACUGAACACCCAUUUCAAAGCUCCAUCUAGUCUUUGUACCAGCAAGAGCUUUUCCCCCACAUCUUUUCAGGCCAAAGAAUGGCACCACGUUAAUGCAGCUUCAGUGCUUCCAGGCCCAGGGAAAUCAUGGGGACACAGCAGGUUAAUCAGCAUAUCAACCCAGCACCAGCCCAGUCAGAAACUGUCCUCACAUCCCACCAUGUGACAGCAAUCUGCCAUGAGAUGUCUUCAGCCUCUUACUCAUUUCCCACAUCUAUUACACCUGUAGGAAGGCAGGAUUUUCAGAGGAGCCAGGCAGUUUAGAGUGAGGUAUGCUGAGCAAUGGCUUUCCUUUGGCAAUAGGAGCAAUAUUUAUCUCAAGGAAUGGUUUGGUCACUGCGCUGAUUUGCUUGCUGUGGUGUGCUCUCUCUGCUCCAGUGCCCAGCAGCAUCAUUACCACAGAGAACUUUGCUCAAGCAAUUGCCUGCACCAGAAUUUUAAGUCUGCAUGUUCAGGUCAGGAGCAUCCAUCAGCUGACAGGAGCAGCACCAUGGGAUCCUCUACCCAAAUGACCUCCAGUAAAGUCAGGCUCAGAAAAAAAAUCUCUCCAACAGAACUCAGUUCCUUCAUAUACAGUAAAAUUCAGGAACCCACUGGAAAAGAAGAGGAUUCAUUCAGUGUCUGCAAGAACCCUGUUCCUGAAAGAGAAGAGUGUGGCCAUGUCAAUAAGACCUGUGCAUUGAUGCAUUCCCAGCCCUGAGCUGCCACCUGCCUCUGUGCCAGCAGUGCUCUGCAGGUGAGCAGGGCAUGGGGGGCAAAGUGGCAGCCUGACAAAGAGAGAGGAUUCAAAGGUAACUCGUGCUGGAACAGGGUGAUCCUGACAAGGCAGUGCUCAGAGCAGCAGCUGAGUGGCACUGCAUUCAUCAAUUCACCUCAGUUGUCAUUAUCCCAGGACAAGGGCCCUUCAGGCAUCCAGCUAUGGUCAAACGAAGGCAAGAAUAAACAAGGAAGCUCCCCACCAUGUCAUGAAUUCACUGCUCCACACUGGACCCUUCCCCACAUGACACAGGGCGGCCACAUGCCCCUGAUGUGCCCAGUGAAGGAGACCUUUUCUACUGACAGGAUAUCAUUCCUGGAGCAAACUGUCACCUUUGUGAAUUUAAAUGUGAGUGUGAGUUCCACUGCAGGUUGUCUACACUCUUAGAUUUUCCAUAUAUUUUACUGGCAUGUACCUAAUCAACCUGUUCCUUCUGCACACAUUUCUGUGACAGGUUUGAACACAAUACCUUGGCUUUUUCUUCCAAACACUUAAUCAGGGCAGAAUUCAGGUAUUGUCGGAGGUUAUUAUUUUCUUCAUGUAACCUAGCAAGUUCCUCUUCCUUCUGAAGCAAAGUAUCUUGAAGCUGUGGAAUAGAGAUAUUGAUGAAUAGAUGUUGACUCUGUAACUUAAUAGCAAUUGCCCUCUGGUACAAGCUGCUUGGAUUUGAUGAUCUGGGUGUUUGCUUUGUGAGCUCAACCCACUCCCUCCAGCCUCUUGUUUCUAUAACUCUAAGUGGCAUGACUGUUCAGUUUUCACUUUUGACUUCCUUUAAUCUUUAAGUGAGUGUUUGAAAAGAUUAUUCUGAAAAAAACUGCAACCACAGAAUAAUAAUAGAAAUUAAUUACAAGUAGCCCUGUGAGCAGCCAGAAAUGGUCACGGGCAUGACAGCAGCUUCAGGAUCUCCUCUUGAGCCACAGCAAACAUCCCUUUGCACCCCUCCUUCCCAUUUAUAGCUGGCUAGUGAAAAAAAAAGCAGGAGGAGUUGCAAACUAACAAUUUAUGGGGGUAGAGUGCAGAAGUGAGAUGCAGUUGCUAUUCUUUAUGAUAAAGUAGCACUCAGUGAUCUCUUCAGUUCUGGACCCUACUGUGCCAGAACUGAUACAUAUACAGAGUUGAGAUGAUCCCUGGUCUCAAAAGCUGAACAGGAAUGGCAGACACCUAACACUUUUCUAUGGGAAAUCUAAGUGUUUAUAGAUAGAUAUUUGGCUCCUCAUCAUAGCUCUGGAGACUUCUUUAGGAGGACAAAGAAUCUUCUGCCUUGGACCACAGGCAUCUGCUGAGCAUAGGCUUAGUCAAAAACAGAUUAAAUGAUUGAGGCCGAGCCAAAGAAAGAAGUACACUGACAUCUGGAACUAUGGUUUGAUCCAGGGACCUUUAAGAUAAUAUCUGAAUUUUCACUGACUUGACUGUGUCAAAACAUCAUUCCAAGUACUUGAUCAGCGUCAUCAAACUGGAGCUCCUUCAUUAAAGACAGUUCAGUUUCUCCUGUCUCUUGUUGGGAUUUACAAAAAAAAAUGAAAUAUAAGAGAAAAUAAAGUAACAAGGAAAACCUGUUGGUCAAAAUGGUUGAUCUUCCAUGUAAUUAGACAGUUCUGGUGGACUCAUUUCCCAUGAAGUUAAACCUGGUGGAAUCAGGAGGACACAUGCUACGUAUUUCUAGCCAACAGCAUCACCAGAGCCUGAGGUCCCCCUGCUCAUGCCCCUGGUUUUCUUUAGUGCCAAGGCUGCUGCUGCAAUAUGAUGUAAGAGGGGAGGAAUGGAUACGGAAUCCCACCACAGUUGGUCCAACCUCACAGGACAACAUGGGGGAGACAAAUACAUCAAGCAAAGAACAACAGUUUUGUGUCAGUUCUGACGUCUGUGCCAGUGACAGGGAGACCUGCCAUAAGCCAACCCAGAAGAUGCAAUACGUGACACAAAGUUCGGGAGCCCCGUGGGGUGAACCCGGGGCUG